CCAAGUGCACACACAGAGGUAUUUUCAAGUGUGCCUGGUGGGGGGGCAUGCAUGGAACAUGACAUGCUGUCCUCUGCACAGCCUGUCCUUGACCCGGGGUGGCCAGCAGCCACUGUGAAGGGAGGGAGGGGCCGAGCAGAUGACUGACGGCCCACGGUAUCCACAGGAGCAUUUGGUUUCACUGCCAGGACAAAGUCAAAACAAAGAGGGAUUUUUCCAGGUUCCACCGGCCCUCCCCGGGCUACUCAUGCAGAGGACCCACCUUGGAGGGAAAACCACUGAAAAUCAUCAAGAUCUCAUCACACACUGAGGUCUGCACUCAGUUCUCAUCAGAAGCCCCUGGGACCAGCAGUACCUGCGGAGGCUCUGGAGAUCCCACUCCCAGGGGUGGGUUUUCUCCACCCCUUGAGGAUGUGCCCAGGGGAAGGCCUGAAGGGAAACAUGCAGGGUCAGGCUCCCAGCAGCCUCCCAGUUGGACAGAUAAGACGUGGACAAGUGCCUCAGCAGGAAACACCGGUCAAGAGGGUGGACGCAGGAGGAGCAGGGUGUGGCUGGUUGCACUGGGCAGGCUUCUGGCUGCUCCUGCGGUGCCUGAAGGAGGCUUGGAAGCAGGGCCCAGGGGAAGCCCGAGGCAGUUUUCUCCACAGGCACCUGGAUUACCUGCCUGGGAAGGAUGACAAGCCACCUCAGAGACCUUCUCACCCCACACCUCACUGUCGCCAGCAGAGGAAGGUGGCUGGCCAAGCUCACACCAUCACUAGCCAGUGAGGCCCGGCUCACACCAGCCUGUGGCUCCCAGAUGACUUUUAAAUAAGAAACGAACAGAAAUGCAAGAGGCUGACAGUGCACCGUGCCAAGAACAUCUUCAACGACAAUUUGCUGAAUAUUAAUGAACUGAAAAUGUCAUUUCUGGUCCAAUUACUACAAGUAAUUAGUUUUUUUUUAAUUAUGGAGGAAGUGGAAUUUUAAUAAGGUCAAUUUUACAAUUACAGUUUUAAAAAUACUAAUUGUAUUGUCAUCAUGUCUUAUAUAAUAAAUGACGUUGACUUGCUAA